GAUGCUGAAAGCUCAGAGCUGAACAAGACCCCAGCUGCCCUCGGGAAGCAUGCAGUCUAGAGGGGAGAACACAGGACACCAUGAGACUCCCUCGCCAAGGGGAAAGGCCUUCUAUGGGACUUUAAAAAAAAUGCAGUGAUGCUGUACAGGGCAGCCAGGCCCCUCCUAGGCUAGCUGCUCUCCACGGUCUGCAGCCGAGCUCAUGGCCUCUCUCUGUGUCUCUCUUGGGACGUCAGCAGCACCCUAGAUGCACUGGAGGGCAGAUAGGAAGGAGUGAGCCCCUGGGAGGCCAGGUUUGGGCCACCCCCAGCAGAGAGGAGUAGCGGUGGCCCCAGAUUGGGUUGGAUGGUCAGUCUGGGGCAAGUCAGCCAGGAGACUCAAGAUCACUAUCAUUGGGUCUGUUCCACAGUGGGUAGCAGAGAAUGACAUUUGAGAACCAUCAUGCAUCACAGGAAGCCCACGGGGCUUAUCUCAGGGGCCCUGGAAAUGGGCCGGUCCAAAUGGUCACACACCAACUUGGAGCUCCUGUCCUGCUGCUCUCUGGGAAUCUGGGCACAUACUCCACAGUGAAUUUGGAAGGCCCAUUUAAAUGGCAGCUUUCAGUCAGAGUUUAAGGGGUGAUUGACAGGGAGACCCACCUGGAGCUGUGUCCUCAAGCCACAUUCCCUCGUCCUGCCCAUCACAGCGCUGCCACCACUGCCUCCUGCCCUCAGAGGGUGGCAGGCAGCCUCUGAGCUUCCUCCUUUCCUCUCUUCUGCCUUUCCUCCCUCCCCAUACCCCUCCACAGUUCCUGGAAUUAGUAAGGGAAUCCAGAAGAGUGAGGGGCUGAGAGCCCUCAGUGCCUGCAAAAGAACCUGGGUUUGUAAGGACAGCUGAGGCUGCAAAAGGACACAUCAUUUGAGCUCUUGUAGGGGCAGGGGGAUGUUCAGCACUGGGCUGUGACUAAUGGGGAUAAGGAAUAGCCUGUUUGCUGGUAUUUAGGGUACACUGGUCCCUAGAUAUCUCCUCCCACCCUGUACUACGGAAUUUUUUCAUGGGAAUCUCAUUUCUUUUUCUAGAGAUUAUUGGCUCCAUAGAAAUGCAGUCCUGGCCUCACUUGGCUACUGAGCCAUCCCAUAAACUUCAGUGACAUUGACAUUGAGUUUCUCGCACCCCCACCAAGAGCAGGGUUUGCUUGUUUGUUUGUUUUUGUUGUUGUUUUGAGACAGAAUCUUGCUCUGUCACCCAGGCUGGAAGUGCAGUGGCGCAAUCCUAGUUCACUGCAGCCUCAAUUUCCCAGGCUCAAGCGAUCCUCCCACCUCAGCCUCCCCAGUACCUGGGACCACAGGCAUGUGCCACCCACACAUAGCUUUUUUUUUGAGAUGGAGUUUCGCUCUUGUUGCCCAAGCUGGAGUGCAAUGGCACGAUCUCGGCUCACCGCAACCUCUGCCUCUUGGGUUCAAGCGAUUCUCCUGCCUCAGCCUUCUGAGUAGCUGGGAUCAGAGGCAUGCGCCACCACGCCCAUCUAAUUCUGUACUUUUAAUAGAGACCGGGUUUCUCCAUGUUGGUCAGGCUGGUCUCGAACUCCUGACCUCAGGUGAUCUGCCCACCUUGGCCUCCCAAAGUGCUGGAAUUAUAGGCGUGAGCCACCAUGCCCGGCCACACCUAGCUUUUAAACAAUUUUUUAUAGAGACAAGGUCUCGCUAUGUUGCUUAGGCUAGUUUCAAACCCCUGGGUUCUAGUGAUCCUCCUACCUCAGCCUCCCAAAGUGCUGGAAUUACAGGCAUGAGCCACCAUGCCUGGCCAGGAGCGGGUUUUAAUAAGGAAAAGAGGCCAGAAGAUGAGACACUUUGAGGAGAAGUGGAGAUGGGAGAAAGGGUUUCUUUCAUGAAUGGAGGGGCUCGUGCCUGUUAAUCAUCUAGCAUGUGCCAGGAGCUGUCCAGAGGCUGAGCUACAUAAUCCAAAUCCAUCUUCACAACAGUCCUAACUAGCUCCGUUUCACAGAUGAGGAUGUGGAGGCUCAGGGGAGAUAAUGUCCCUUAAUCAAGGUCACACAGCCAGGAGGUAGUGAAGUUAGGAUUCCUACCCAGAAGCCCUUGCUCUUCCUAGGUGCCCCUUCAGGGGUUGGGGUGGGCAUGAAUAAUAGGCGCACAUUUCACAACGUUGCCCCAGAAAGGUAGCAAUAUUGAACGGAUAGAGGGGACCUGACAGGCCACACAGCUGAGGCUCUGUUGCCUGAGGCAGCCAAGGCCUAAGUUCAUCAUCCAAGCAGCCAAGACCCACCACUCUCCAGAAGGCUUAGCAGGUCGUGCCUCAGGGGCUCCAAAAUGGCCAGGCAGGCUGAGAAAAUCUCCAAGCUGUGCAGUGGGGCCUGCAAUCCUGAAACCAGAAACCGCAACCCCACCCCCUCCCCAUGGCAGCAGGCCUAGGGGAGGGGAAUAGGCGUGCUGGGACCCCACAGCAGCCCUGUAGGGAAAGGAGGCACCUUGAAUCUAGCCAGAUGGGGAGGGGCAUCUGGUCUCAGCAUAACUCCCUGAUAGUAGCCCCUGGGAAAAGCACAGCCCCCUCUCAACCCCAGAGCCAGUUUCUCCUUGGAUCUGUAUACUUGGAGCAAAGCAUUACCCUAUUCCCCAGGCCUCCCCGCCUUUGCCACCCACACCUCUGGGCCCCUGGCAGGGACUGUGCCCUGGUCAGAACAGCUGGCAGCCCAUGUGCUUCCACCCCCACCUUCUCUCUGUUCCGGACUUUCAGGUCAUGACACAGGGGGAGGAAAAGAAGGCUGAGCUGGAAGUGGAACUUUGGCGGGAAAGGGGGCAUGGAUCCUUAGGAAUAUAAAGGGCCUCAGGUCCUGGCCAGAGACAUUUGCUGUGCUCCUCUGCACCUGCCCAGCACCAUGGUAAUGUCUGGUGGCCAAGUUAGGGCCCCCUAUCAGCUGUAUUCUCUAGGAGCUUGGGGAUGGGGGCUGGCACCAAGGGCCCUCCUCAGGCUCACUAAGGGCAUGAAGGAAUUAGGCCAGGGCAGCCUCGUCUGCCAUUCUGAUGGUCAGGACAGCUACUAGGGCCUCUUAUCCCUGCUUGGGGUGGUGGGGUGAGUGGAGUUCCCGGUUAAAAGAGGGUUGAGGGGCUUAGGAGCUCUGGGGGUGUGCAUCAUGUUUAUGGCAUCAUAGUCUGUGAAUCAUGGUGUGUUGCAGGCACAAAAUUCUCUGUGCAUUGGGUGUGUGAAUCAUCAGGCUGGCUUUCCUGUGUGUAACUGUUAGUCAUUCAUUUAAUAUGUAUUAUUGAGUAUCUGCUAAGUGCCAGGCACUGUUCUAGGUGCUUGUGAUACAUCAAUAGACAAAAUAAGCAAAGAGCCCAGCUGUAAUUAAUGAUGCCCACACUGAGGGAGGAGAUGCUGCUGGGAAGGGAUCGGACAUAAAUAUAAUAAGUAUAGAAUAUAUGUUAGAAAGUGUAGGCCGGGUGUGGCAGCUCAUACCUGUAAUCCCAGCACUUUGGGAGGCAAGGCAGGAUGAUCGCUUGAGGCCGGGAGUUUGAGACCAGCCUGGGCCACCUAGCAAGACUCCAUUUCUACAAAAAAUUAAAAUUUAGCUAGGCAUGGUCGUGUGCACCUUUAGACCUAGCUACUUGGGAGGCUGAAGCAAGAGGAUGGCCUGAGCCCAGGAGUUUGAGGCUGCCGUGAGCCAUGAUCCCGACACUAUACUGCAGCCUGGGCAACAAAGCAAGACCUUGUCUAAAAAAAAAAAGAAAAGAAAAGAAAAGAAAAAAGUGCAAAAAUAGAGCAAGAAAAAGAGCAAGAUGAGGGGUUGGGUUGCAAUUUUUUUAAAUUUAUUUUUUAAACUGUAGAGACAGGGCUCUCUGUCUUUUGCCCAGACUGGUCUGGAACUCAUGGGCUCAAGUGAUCCGCCCGCCUUGGCCUCCCAAAGUGCUGGGAUUACAGGCGUCAUCUACCGCACGCUGCCGGGUUGCAAUUUUAAACAGGGGUGUCAGGGCUAAGACCCAUUUAAAAGGUGGAUUUUGAGCUAAUGCCUCCAGGGGGCGACAGAGCCGGCCAUGAGGAUGUCUGGAGGAAGAGUCUUCCAGGCUGAGAACAACGUGACUGACAUUUUGAGGGAACGGCAGGGAGAAAGGAGGGUGAUAAGUAAGGAAUUUGCAGGAGAGAGGUCGGUGAGAUUAGGGAGCUGACCAAUGGUUUUAUGCCGUCCUCAUGCGUACACCUGAGGGUGUGUCUCCCCGUUCAUUUUUACCUUGAUGCUUUCUGCGUGCAUCACCGGGCAUGUCCAGGUGUGCACCAUUCCCCGGGGCACCAGGAUGUCCCUUAGGGCGUCCGUGCACUGGUGUGUGUCCCAGAAAUAGCCACGUCCCUCAGCCUGAGCGUCUCUGCACCCCAGGCUGCCCACAGCGCGGAGCACCCGCAAGCUACGGUCAGAUAUCGCGCGGACCCCCACCCCCGCCCUCCCGCGGGAUCACGUGAUCGCCCGCGGCUCGUUCGCUCUGCCCCCUCCAGGCGCCGGCUCCGCGCUGCGCAUGCGCUCUGGUCGUGGCCGGUCUCGUGUGGCUGCUGGUGCCGCCACAGGGCGCGCUGGGCGAGGGGCUGCAGGUGCCGCAGCAGUCCAGGGCCGCCGGUUGGCUGAACUUAGGCUCGAUCAAGAAGUACGUGGGGAGGCUUUUCAACAGCAGCUCAAAGAAAUCUAAAAACCACAAGAAAAUUGCAAACGCCGCGAACACCUCCCCACCGAAAGCCACGAAACCCCCUCCAUGGACCACCACGAAACCCCAGUGGCUGAACACCUCGGAACCCCGACCACCCGCCUCCUCCUAGGGCCCCAGGUGGGACAGCCUGUAUGCUCGGCACCGAACCAGGGGCCUCGGGACUGGGGGCAGCUGGGGUGGGAGCGAGAGGAAGCCCCCAGGGCCGGCGUGCGGGGAGAUACUGGCACCCUGGGGCUUCCUUCUCCAGGCUGGGGCUUGGCCUCCAGACGCCUAGCCCCCCCACCAACCCCUUUAUAUUGAGAGGGGCCUCAACCCCUCCUCAUCCCCUCAGUGAAAACAAUAAAGACAAAUCUCUGUUGCUUCA